AUUGAACGCUGGCGGCAUGCUUUACACAUGCAAGUCGAACGGCAGCGCGGGCCUCGGCCUGGCGGCGAGUGGCGAACGGGUGAGUAAUACAUCGGAACGUGCCCAGUAGUGGGGGAUAGCUCGGCGAAAGCCGGAUUAAUACCGCAUACGACCUGAGGGUGAAAGCGGGGGAUCUUCGGACCUCGCGCUAUUGGAGCGGCCGAUGUCAGAUUAGCUAGUUGGUGGGGUAAAGGCCUACCAAGGCGACGAUCUGUAGCUGGUCUGAGAGGACGACCAGCCACACUGGGACUGAGACACGGCCCAGACUCCUACGGGAGGCAGCAGUGGGGAAUUUUGGACAAUGGGCGAAAGCCUGAUCCAGCAAUGCCGCGUGUGUGAUGAAGGCCUUCGGGUUGUAAAGCACUUUUGGCGGGAACGAAAAGGACUGUGCCAAUACCACGGUUCGAUGACGGUACCCGCAGAAUAAGCACCGGCUAACUACGUG
rnacentral:rRNA from 1 species